rnacentral:ncRNA from 1 species
AUGAGACGGGUAAGUCCUAUAGCACGCCCAGGGUGCUUCCUUCCAUCGGUUGGCUAUGAGCCUUGGGGCAUCAGGUGUUAUAGGGGCCGUCUUUU